rnacentral:rRNA from 1 species
UUGAAGAGUUUGAUCAUGGCUCAGAUUGAACGCUGGCGGCAGGCCUAACACAUGCAAGUCGAACGGUAACAGGAAACAGCUUGCUGUUUCGCUGACGAGUGGCGGACGGGUGAGUAAUGUCUGGGAAACUGCCUGAUGGAGGGGGAUAACUACUGGAAACGGUAGCUAAUACCGCAUAACGUCGCAAGACCAAAGAGGGGGACCUUCGGGCCUCUUGCCAUCGGAUGUGCCCAGAUGGGAUUAGCUUGUUGGUGGGGUAACGGCUCACCAAGGCGACGAUCCCUAGCUGGUCUGAGAGGAUGACCAGCCACACUGGAACUGAGACACGGUCCAGACUCCUACGGGAGGCAGCAGUGGGGAAUAUUGCACAAUGGGCGCAAGCCUGAUGCAGCCAUGCCGCGUGUAUGAAGAAGGCCUUCGGGUUGUAAAGUACUUUCAGCGGGGAGGAAGGGAGUAAAGUUAAUACCUUUGCUCAUUGACGUUACCCGCAGAAGAAGCACCGGCUAACUCCGUGCCAGCAGCCGCGGUAAUACGGAGGGUGCAAGCGUUAAUCGGAAUUACUGGGCGUAAAGCGCACGCAGGCGGUUUGUUAAGUCAGAUGUGAAAUCCCCGGGCUCAACCUGGGAACUGCAUCUGAUACUGGCAAGCUUGAGUCUCGUAGAGGGGGGGAGAAUUCCAGGUGUAGCGGUGAAAUGCGUAGAGAUCUGGAGGAAUACCGGUGGCGAAGGCGGCCCCCUGGACGAAGACUGACGCUCAGGUGCGAAAGCGUGGGGAGCAAACAGGAUUAGAUACCCUGGUAGUCCACGCCGUAAACGAUGUCGACUUGGAGGUUGUGCCCUUGAGGCGUGGCUUCCGGAGCUAACGCGUUAAGUCGACCGCCUGGGGAGUACGGCCGCAAGGUUAAAACUCAAAUGAAUUGACGGGGGCCCGCACAAGCGGUGGAGCAUGUGGUUUAAUUCGAUGCAACGCGAAGAACCUUACCUGGUCUUGACAUCCACGGAAGUUUUCAGAGAUGAGAAUGUGCCUUCGGGAACCGUGAGACAGGUGCUGCAUGGCUGUCGUCAGCUCGUGUUGUGAAAUGUUGGGUUAAGUCCCGCAACGAGCGCAACCCUUAUCCUUUGUUGCCAGCGGUCCGGCCGGGAACUCAAAGGAGACUGCCAGUGAUAAACUGGAGGAAGGUGGGGAUGACGUCAAGUCAUCAUGGCCCUUACGACCAGGGCUACACACGUGCUACAAUGGCGCAUACAAAGAGAAGCGACCUCGCGAGAGCAAGCGGACCUCAUAAAGUGCGUCGUAGUCCGGAUUGGAGUCUGCAACUCGACUCCAUGAAGUCGGAAUCGCUAGUAAUCGUGGAUCAGAAUGCCACGGUGAAUACGUUCCCGGGCCUUGUACACACCGCCCGUCACACCAUGGGAGUGGGUUGCAAAAGAAGUAGGUAGCUUAACCUUCGGGAGGGCGCUUACCACUUUGUGAUUCAUGACUGGGGUGAAGUCGUAACAAGGUAACCGUAGGGGAACCUGCGGUUGGAUCACCUCCUU